ensembl:lncRNA
CUAGAGUCAGCAUCAGACCAGGGACCACUCUUACAGGACGGCUAGAGUCAGCAUCAGACCAGGGACCACUCUUACAGGACAGCUAGAGUCAGCAUCAGACCAGGGACCACUCUUACAGGACAGCUAGAGUCAGCAUCAGACCAGGGACCACUCAUACAGGAUGGCUACAGCAGUCAUCAUCAGACCAGGGACCACUCUUACAGGACAGCUAGAGUCAGCAUCAGACCAGGGACCACUCUUACAGGACGGCUAGAGUCAGCAUCAGACCAGGGACCACUCAUACAGGAUGGCUACAGCAGUCAUCAUCAGACCAGGGACCACUCUUACAGCAUGGCUAGAGUCAGCAUCAGACCAGGGACCACAGGAUAGAUACAGCAGUCAUCAUCAGACCAGGGACCACUAUUACAGGACGGCUAUAGCAGUCAUCGUUAAACCAGGGACCACUCUUACAGGACGGCUAUAGCAGUCAGCGUCAGACCAGGGACCACUCUUACAGGACGGCUAUAGCAGUCGGCGUCAGACCAGGGACCACUCUUACAGGACGGCUAUAGCAGUCAUCAUCAGACCAGGGACCACUCUUACAGGAGGGCUACAGCAGUCAUCAUCAGACCAGGGACCACGGCUACAGAAAUACUGGAGAGUGUCCCUCCACUCUGAGUGGUUCAUCCUGGUCCUUUCAUCAUUGAUGAAUUAAUGCCAUCAUCCACAUGAAGCCUUAUGUCUCACAGACCUCUUCCUCAAACAUGUCUAUGUUCUCUCUUAGAUACAGGUCAUGUGGGCUCCUGAGUGGCACAGUGGUCUAAGGCACUGCAUCUCAGUGCUAGAGGCGUCACUACAGACCCUGGUUCGAUUCCAGGCUGUAUCACAACUGGCCGUGAUUGAGAGUCCCAUAGGGCGGCGCACAAUUGGCCCAAUGUCGUCUGGGGUAGGCCGUCAUUGUAAAUAAGCAUUUGUUCUUAACUAACUUGCCUAGUUAAAUAAAGGUUAAAUAAAUAAAAUGUAUCUCUUAGAUACAAGUCAUAUCUCUCAGAUAUCUCUCAGAUACAGGUCAUAUCUCUCAGAUAUCUCUCAGAUACAAGUCAUAUUGCUCAGAUACAGGUCAUAUCGCU